UACGGAGGGUGCAAGCGUUAAUCGGAAUUACUGGGCGUAAAGGGUAUGUAGGCGGCUUGAUAAGUUAAGUGUGAAAUUCCCGGGCUCAACCUGGGGUGGUCAUUUAAGACUGUCAGACUAGAGUAUGGGAGAGGGUAGUGGAAUUUCCGGUGUAGCGGUGAAAUGCGUAGAGAUCGGAAGGAACACCAGUGGCGAAGGCGGCUACCUGGCCUAAUACUGACGCUGAGAUACGAAAGCAUGGGGAGCAAACAGG
rnacentral:rRNA from 1 species